rnacentral:rRNA from 1 species
UACGUAGGGGGCAAGCGUUAUCCGGAUUUACUGGGUGUAAAGGGAGCGUAGACGGCAGCGCAAGUCUGGAGUGAAAUGCCGGGGCCCAACCCCGGAACUGCUCUGGAAACUGUGAAGCUGGAGUGCAGGAGAGGUAAGCGGAAUUCCUGGUGUAGCGGUGAAAUGCGUAGAUAUCAGGAGGAACACCGGCGGCGAAGGCAGCUUACCAAGCUACUUCUGACGUUGAGGCACGAAAGCGUGGGGAGCAAACAGG